CUUAAAAUAAUUUUAGUAUAAGAUUCCAAUACUUUAUCGACUGAUGGUCAAAAUAAGAAUCUAUUUUACCAUCAGUCGGGAGCGAAGAAAAUCUACUUUACGGAAAAUCUAUUUUUACGAUCCAUAAUAGGAAUCUAUUUUUAUUCGUCGUCUGUAAAAAAAGGAAUUUACUUUUAUCCAUCGUCGGACUCAUUGUUGGCGUAAACCGAUUAAGAAAUUUGUUUGAUGAAUAACCUUCAAACAAAAAUAGUACAUUAAUAUAGAACAACAAAAGUUGGCACUGGAGUUUUCGAAGACUUUGAAGGGAAAAUAACAAAUAAUGACAACUGAGCCACUGACAGAACAAAACCAACUGAGUUCUGAAA